GCCCUGGUGCUGAAAUUGGUAGACGGGCACGCUUGAGGGGCGUGUGUACUAUGUACGUGCGGGUUCGACUCCCGCUCAGGGCA
rnacentral:tRNA from 1 species